rnacentral:lncRNA from 1 species
ACAUUGCCCCCAGUCUCUUAUUUAUAAGGAACUUAAAAUAAGAGAGUAUACAAAUUUAUACCAACCGAAAAUCCAUAUUUACCGAAGACGAACUAUCACACCCGAACUCCAUACGCCGAACAAAUAUCUUUGGCUCUCAAUAUCGCCACCUCACUCCUCCUCUUCACUCCUAAGAUAAACAAUUGCCCUUAUCACUACCAAAGAUAUAAAGAACCAACCUUAUACCAACCGAACCAAC